rnacentral:rRNA from 1 species
UACGUAGGGGGCGAGCGUUAUCCAGAUUUACUGGGCGUAAAGCGCGUGUAGGCGGCUGGUUAGGUGUGAUGUGAAAUCCUCGGGCUCAACCCGAGAACUGCAUUGCAAACCGGCCUGGCUAGAGUGCAGGAGAGGGAAGCGGAAUUCCAGGUGUAGCGGUGAAAUGCGUAGAUAUCUGGAGGAACACCGGUGGCGAAGGCGGCAUCCUGGACCGGCAUUGACGCUGAGGAGCGAAAGCCAGGGGAGCAAACGGG